AUUGAACGCUGGCGGCAGGCUUAACACAUGCAAGUCGAGCGGCAGCGGGGGGAAGCUUGCUUCCCCGCCGGCGAGCGGCGGACGGGUGAGUAAUGUCUGGGGAUCUGCCUGAUGGAGGGGGAUAACUACUGGAAACGGUAGCUAAUACCGCAUAACGUCGCAAGACCAAAGUGGGGGACCUUCGGGCCUCACGCCAUCGGAUGAACCCAGAUGGGAUUAGCUAGUAGGUGGGGUAACGGCUCACCUAGGCGACGAUCCCUAGCUGGUCUGAGAGGAUGACCAGCCACACUGGAACUGAGACACGGUCCAGACUCCUACGGGAGGCAGCAGUGGGGAAUAUUGCACAAUGGGGGAAACCCUGAUGCAGCCAUGCCGCGUGUGUGAAGAAGGCCUUCGGGUUGUAAAGCACUUUCAGCGGGGAGGAAGGCGGUAAGGUUAAUAACCUUGUCGAUUGACGUUACCCGCAGAAGAAGCACCGGCUAACUCCGUGCCAGCAGCCGCGGUAA
rnacentral:rRNA from 1 species